GGAUGAAAAGGAGCCAUUGUUGAGCACCCUUUGGGUUCGGCCAGUCAACCAGUUACAAAUCCAUGUAACAGCUACCUUGUCUAGUCCACAUUUUACAAGCUUGUUUGCAAGAAUGUCAUGGGAAAUCUUGUCAGGAAGACUUAGUUUGAAAUCUUCCUGUCUACUGCAUUAGACUUUUAUAUGAUUUCAGGUCUGUAGCAUCCACAAUGUCCCCAAUAUAGACUCAGCAUUAAUACACUGUGACCUUGGGGCCACUUGGCUAAAAUUUCAGGAGCUAGGUUUCUGUUCUGUUAAAACUUAACUAAUACAAAUAAAUGUCAACUCAAAAAUACAAUUUGCAUUUCUUUGCUGGAGUGAGUCCUUUAAAAGAAAUAGCUUCUCGAUAUCUGACUGAAUGUUUGACUGAAUUGUGUACACCUUAGCAUUUCUUUUGUCAUACGGUCAACUGGACUUGGCAUUUUGUGGCUUCCCACACAUAGCUUUUAGUGCACCAAGCUUGAUCCUACUGGAAAAAAUGGGAAAAAAUAGCUUGCUCUUUUUCAUUUUACUGAGUGCUAUAAUUAAGAGAACUUUUGGGUGCUACUGUGAUCAUUAUUCCUGGAGUUCCUGGUCCAGCUGUUCAAAGACUUGCAACUAUGGGAUACAAAGUAGAUCAAGACUGAGAAACUACAAUGAGUAUUAUUUUAAGAAUUCAUGUGCAACAUUGUGUACGUGGAGUGAAUCUCGGGCAUGUAACCAGGAGGCUUGCCCCAUCAAUUGUCAACUCAGUGACUGGGCCAUGUGGUCAGAAUGUGACCCAUGUGUUAAACAACAAUUUCGUGUCAGGUCUUUGCUGCAACCAUCUCAGUUUGGGGGUCAAGCCUGUACUGAGCAAAUGUCAGACCGACGGCCAUGUUUCCCAACAAAACUGUGCAAAAUGGAGGAGGUGAACUGUGGUAAUAAGAUACAGUGUGACAAUGGUCGCUGCAUUGCCAAGAAACUGAGAUGUAACGGAGACAAUGACUGUGGAGACAAUUCAGAUGAAAGGAAUUGCAGGAGUGUGAAGUCUGUGUGUAACAGGAGAUUCAUCAGCCUACCCAGUGUGCAACUUCUGGGCCAUGGAUACCAUGCUCUGGCAGAUGACACCCGAGGAGAAGUCCUUGACAAUUCUUUCAAUGGAGGGCAGUGUAUCCUUGUGAAGAGUGAAAACAAUAGGACUACAUUUCGUGUGCCUGAAAAUCUUGAGUCAGUCAGCUUUCAGGUGAGAAAUCAAGAAGAUGAUGUGAAAGCACAGUACUACACAGAUUUAACAUCCAUGAUACGAUCUCACACUGAACAAAGCUCUUCUGUGGGAAGUGACAGACGUUCUUCUGGAUUACCAGUUUUCUGGGGUUCAAGAUCAAAUUCAGUGUCGACAUCAUCUCAUGCCUUCCAGGAAGCCAUUAAAGCAUCCCAUAAGAUGAGUUCCAACUUCAUUAGGAUUCAUAAGGUGAUUGCGGUUUCAAACUUCACAGUGAAACAGUCAGACUUGCAGAUUUCUGGUGUUUUCCUGAAGGCCCUUAACAGCCUGCCUCUAGAGUACAACUAUGCUCUCUACAGUCGGAUAUUUGAUGACUUUGGCACUCAUUACUACACAUCUGGUUCACUGGGAGGAAUAUAUGACCUUCUUUACCAGUAUAAUGAAGAGGAGACAAAAAAUUCAGGUUUAACACAAGAACAAAUGGAAAGCUGUACGCGAACAGAAACACGAAAGUAUGUUUUCUUCUUUUCGUGGACAGAACAUCAUGUGGACUGUUCCCGCAGUAAAAUGACAGAAAGCUAUGAAGGUUCCAUGUUGAAGUCAUCUGAACGGUCUAUUUCCCUGGUAAAGGGUGGACGAGCACAGUAUGCUGCAGCUCUAGCCUGGGAGAAAAAAGGAUCUUUUCCAGGACAAACCAUCUUUAGUGAUUGGCUAGAAUCAACCAAGGAAAAUCCCACUGUUGUUGACUUUGAGGUGGCUCCCAUUCUGGAUUUGGUGAAGAACUUCCCAUGUGCCGUGACAAAGCGCCAUAAUCUCAGGAAAGCCUUUUUUGAAUAUAUGACCAGAUAUGACCCUUGCCAUUGUGCCCCAUGUCCCAACAAUGGUCAGCCUGUUUUAUCUGGAACCGAAUGCCUCUGUGUAUGCAAAGCUGGAACCUAUGGCAGUAACUGUGAGAGAAGAGCUCCAGAUUACACAUCAGAUGCAGUAGAUGGCUACUGGAGUUGCUGGUCUGCAUGGAGUUCAUGCGAUGCAACUUUUAAGAGGCAAAGGACUCGACUGUGUAACAAUCCCCAACCUAUGAAUGGAGGAAAACCCUGUGAAGGAAAAGGGGAAGAGGAAGAAGAGUGUUUUAUUUCAUUGUUUGCAGACCAAGGAGCUGUUUGUGUAAAUGAUAAUGAAGGUGUAAAAGAGGUAGACCUACAUGAAGUUGAUCCUGAAUCUGGAUGUGUGACUCCGACACCCCCAGAAAAUGGAUUCAUCAGGAAUGAGAAAAGAGACUAUUCCAUUGGAGAAGAAGUGGAAGUUGUCUGUCUGAGUGGCUACAAUCUUGUAGGAUAUCCAUUCUUUAGGUGCCUGCCAGACAAAACAUGGAUGCAACACACUGUUGAGUGCCAACCAUCAGUUUGCUCCAGACCAUCCCUUUCCAAUGCCAUCAGAAUCUCCCCAUUUAAAAUAGACUACAAGAGAGGGGAUGGCAUCCAACUGAGUUGUUCAAAUGGAUAUACUCUUACUGGCCCAAAGAGCUACACCUGUGGAAAUGAUCUUUCCUGGAACCCACCUAUUUCAGAAUCACUUACUUGCAAACAGACUGAGCAAUCUCAUCUCCGAGGCAAUUGCAGCCUCGGACAAAAGGAGGUGGAGUACCAAUGUGUCUGUAUGUCGCCUGAGGAAGACUGUGAUCUUGACAUGGAAGAUAUCUGUGUCCUGCAUACUGCAUCCAAAGAAGCCUUUACAAAAUCGAGCUGCCAAUACCUGGCCAACAGGUGCAGGGGUGAUGAGCAGUUCCAUUUCCUCCAUUCUGGAUCUUGCCGCAAUGAUGCCAACUUAAACUGGGCCAUUGAGCGGGCAAUUCUUUCAGUGAACAGCACAAGGAAAGAGCUCUGCAGUUAUGAUGUAUGUUAUGAUUGGGAAACAUGUUCAGGAGUGCCAUCUCAUCUGUAUCCUCGUGGGACCUACCUCUUCUCCUGCAGUGGAUUUCAUUGAUAUUGGGAGACCAUUUCAGACUAGGUUCACACAAAAGGAAAGCUGCCCCUUCCAGCUGCAUAUCACCUGGGCAUGAGAGUUUUACUUUCUCUCCAAUUUCAUACAAUGGUUUCACUGGGUGUCCACUCAGUCCUUCUUCCAACUCAGGAAUGUCCACCACCACUAGGGUAUGGGUUAUUACAGCUUCGGGUUCUUGAUUUCCUUCCUGCUGUACAAGGACUCCAAGAGGACCAGCAGCUCCAGCCACCAUUGAUGACACCUGGAUAAUGUCAGUAACAAUCAUACAAGAGAGAAUUAUACAACAUUAAGAGUUGCUCUGUGGACAUUUUAACUGUAUCCUGGUUUUUUACAUGCUUGUAAGCCAUCUUGGCAUUUUUUCAGUUGGUCCUCGGUAUCCACCAGGGUUUGGUUCUAAGACAGCCCGUGGAUACCAAAAUCCAUGGAUCUUCAAUGGCAUAGCUGCCAUACAAUGGCAAAGCUGGCAAAAUCAAGAUUAGCUUUUGGGAUCCUUUUUUUUCUUCAAGCCGUGGAUGGUUGAAUCUGUGGAUACAAAAUCUGUGGCCAUGGAAAGCCUGUGUUAGGAGAAAAGCAGAAUAUAAACAUAAAUAAAAUAAAAUAGUGCAUAGAGAGGAGUGGGUCCACCAACAGGGAGCUGGUUGAGAGAGCAGAUUCUGAAUGUCAUGAAAGGGCAGCAAAUUGUUACUUAUUUAAUUUAUUAUGCCAGUCUUUUUACUGGCAGGAAGAAAGAAAGAACGUGUGAGAUUUUCUGCCUCACAUGCCAAAAUGGAUUGACUUCCCUAAGAUACAACAUUGAAUGUUUCAAAACAAAAUAUUUUGCUGCUCAGCCUCAGGCGGCAAAAUGUUUGGAUAACCUGAUAUAUAGGUUAUCCCAGUGUAAAGUUCAUAGGGGGUUGUAGAUAAUGUACUCCCUAAGCCACCAUUUCUCACCAGGCUUUCCACCCCCUCAAAACUCUAUUUGACAUUCUAGUAAGCAAACAAAAGAAGUAAUAGUAGGUAUGUAAAUCUUUGUAAAUUUCAUUCUCAUAGGCAAGGAUGAAUAAUUUGACUAUUUGUCUCCUUGCUGUGAGAAAUUCCUUAAAUUUUUUGCCAUUCUUAAAAAAUUGUUUACAGAUUGGGACUUACGCACCACAAAACAUACAUGUGCAGAAAAUGCUUCAUGUGCAUUUUUGUGGGAAAUAAAUCUGUGAGACUUCUUACUCUUCCAA